rnacentral:rRNA from 1 species
CACGUAGGGUGCAAGCGUUAAUCGGAAUUACUGGGCGUAAAGCGUGCGCAGGCGGUUUUGUAAGUCUGACGUGAAAUCCCCGGGCUUAACCUGGGAACUGCAUUUGUGACUGCAUCGCUGGAGUGCGGCAGAGGGGGAUGGAAUUCCGCGUGUAGCAGUGAAAUGCGUAGAUAUGCGGAGGAACACCGAUGGCGAAGGCAAUCCCCUGGGCCUGCACUGACGCUCAUGCACGAAAGCGUGGGGAGCAAACAGG